rnacentral:lncRNA from 1 species
CUCACACUCAUACUGCCUUUCCUCUGCUUUCCUUUUCUUUCCUCUUCUAUUUCUUUCACUCGGUUGUGAGCGAAUGAGUGAAUGAACGAGGAGAAAAGCGACAACAGGCUCCGUUUACUUCAACACGUAGCACACGUAUACACACGUGCACAUUCACAGACACACAUAAACACACAAACACACGUACACACGCACAAAUACACAUACAAGCAACAUACAGCAUUCAAACAUUCGUACAUUCUUACAUUCGUACAAUCGUAGAUUCCAGUAUUCCUAGGUACGUUCGUUCGUUUGUUCGUUGCUUCACUGAUUGGUUGAUUCUCUGGUUGGUUGGUUGCUUCACCCAUUCUGUUCGUAUGUUGAUAAGACUGGUUACUGUUAGCAGACGCGCCAGACAAGACGGCAGUUGAGUGGAGUCAGUCCUUGCUAUGAUAUUAUCCAACUGUAAAAGUGGAACGGAGUGGAGGUUUUCUCGAGUAAAAUGCAAACGGUUUGUAUUAUGAAAGGAGUACUAUUAAAGGCUUGGGCAAGAAUUUCACUUCUCUUCGCAUAUAUGCCCCUAUUGCAUCUUGUAACAGGUAGG